UGCUGGGUGAGCUCGAGGUUAGGUUAGGAGCUGACAAAACUGAUGGCAGAAAAGAAGAAAAAAAAAAAGAACAAAUUCAGAGCUGGCAGUUGACAAGACGGAAGCACCCUGUUAUAUCCUGUUAUCUGUAUAAAAAUGAAGAACUGGAGUAAAUUGGUAGAGAACAUAGGCUGAACAAAUUAUCCAUGCCACAGGGUACAGGCUACUUCAUUAAAAGUCAAAUCUUGAGAGAAAAACUAUAUCCACUCAUUCCACCACACAAUCCCAGAACAUUUUAUAGGCAUUGCUCAUCCCUGGUGUAAGUUUAACACCCCGCCUUUCUCUAUUGCAGUUUCUCAGGAAAGCAUUGUAGAGUACAAACAGCCAAAUUUAUAACCAUUGCAAGAAAAUACAAAAGAAACUUCUGAAGACUUUGGACACCACCAGGUGAAACCCAUUUAAUGGUAGGUGUUUUGCUAAAAAUAAAAAAAAUAAAAAUAUAGUAGCGCCAGCACACUAGUCUGAUGGAAACAUGUUGUGCAGAUGCAAAUAGUCAGUUAUGACUGC